UGAAAAUGGUAACCAUGAACGAUAAAAUAGGUUUUAUGAAUAUUAUUAAGAACAAUUUGAAGCUUCGAAAAACAUGGCGGCUGCCUAAUUCUUUUCUGCGAGAUUAUCUUUAAUAACUUUUGGAGUAUUUCAAAUAUUAACGUUCUUUUGUAGCACCUGAAAACAUUUGAAACAGCAAAGCCUCUUAUAUUCAUAAAAAGCUUCAAGAUAGUUAUACCAAAAAUUAUCAUGUUUACACUUGAAGGAAUUGCUUAUAAUUGUCUGAUACGAAACUUUCAAACACUAAUGGAUGACUCCAAGUCGCGUAAAAGACUAUUUUCCGCAACUAUUCCUCCAAUUAUUGCCGAGAAAGUAUUGCACCAAAUAAAUGAAUAUUACUUGGGUGUUCCACCAAAUAUUUUGAAACAUUUUACAAAAAAUAACACUAUUUUAAAGGAUAUUGCAAUAAACGGGAGACGAAUAAAAGGGAUCACUCUAAUGCAAUUUCUUAGAGGACAUAAUCUAAACAGUGCCGCCUUGAUAAACUUCAAUCUGAUACGCGUUGAAAAGUGGAUAAAAUAUUUAAAAGUAUCAACUCUAAAACAACUUUCAUUGGAGGGAUCCUGCUUUCUGGACCGAAUUGUUGUGCAAGAAGAGAAUCAUCAUGAACAAGGAGGUGAAGAAACCAAGAGACUAAAUAUGGAAUUACUCCAAACAAAGCCCCCUUCUUAUAAGGGCUUAGGUUUCAAAUGUUUGGUUCAACUUAGUCUGGCUAACACGGACAUUAAUGAUGUUCACUUCCUCCACUUCACGAAAGAUUGUCCACAGUUACGUCACCUUAAUAUUUCAUCAACAAAUAUUACAGAUUUACGACUUCUUGAGAAAUUUCAAAAUUUAGAAUCUCUCGACUGUUCUUAUCCAAAUAGUACGAAUGUCUACGACACUUAUUUGGCCUUAUUAAAACUAAAAUCCCUAAAAGUAUUGGAUAUAUCAAAGUCAGACCGUAUUGGUUAUGGUGCACUGAUUUUAAGAUACAAAGGUCCUAAUGAAAAAGGUUCGAGCACUUCCACAAAAACAUCGAAGUCUAAAGAAAAGGAUUGGCAUCUAUCUGACUUUUUAAAUAAUGCGAUGUGGGAAAAUAUGACUCAUUUUAAUCUCUCUGGAAAUUGGAGUAGACCAAUCAAAAGCAUCAGCAAUUUCAUAAAUAAUCAUAAAAAAUUAGAAUUCUUUGGAUUAGAUGGCUGCAGAGUUGAUGAGAGAAAAGUAAAUGCAUUAAUAAGAAAUGGAAAAGUUCUUGAGCAACUGACAAAUUUCUCAAAAGAUAAAAUUGAAAAUGCUAUUAUGAGAAUGAAAUGCCCUGAACUUCAGAACAGAUAUUCUGAAUCGUUUGUAGAAAACUUAAAAAUACCAAGAAUAUAUGGUAAUCUCAACUAUGACAAUAUGAUUAAAGAUAUCUUGCAGGAGAAGAAAUUAGAUAUUUGCGAAGUUAUGGCUCAUCAAUUAAAUGCCAUGAAACAUACUGCUUUUCUAUAUCAUGAUGCAACGAAAAUAUUUGGCAGCUGCUUUCUUGUUAUUGACAGCAUUGAUAUCUCCGAAUCAGAAUAUUUUCUUAGUAUUCUAAAAUCUUGUUCUCAGAUAUUCAUAAAUCACUCUAAUAAAAGUUUUAGGGAUAAAAAUAUACAUCAUCUAUUAAAUAUUUUCACUAAAUACUACAAAUAUAUUCAUAUGGUAUAAAGAUGAUAUUAUUGUUUGAAGUGCUAAUACUCGAAAAUUGUCUUUCAGAUGUUUGACGUAGGUGAUUUUUUCAGUGGACUCUUUGAUGUAGAAAAUGCAAAUUCAAGCGAUUCAUUCGGAGGAUCACUUGCCGAAUUUCUUCAUGUUUUAGAUAAGGAAAAGGUAUUAAUUUUAUUAACCGAAUUGGCAUCUUCAUUAAAGUUGGCUUUGUCUGUAGCUGACUGAAGACAACUGGUCAGAUCUAUGUGACGAUCUUACACGUAUGUGUGAUUGGACGUAUAGUCACUAUCAUUCAGCUUUAGAGAAGGAGGUUUAUGGUAUCAUAGAAUAUUGCGAGGACAAAUUUUCUUGGGAAUUUGAUCAUUACAACUUUUUUGAGCCUACCGAAUCAGAUGAGGACUAUUACUAAUAAACUCAUUCUCACAUUCUACCUUGAACACAUAAUUAUAUAAUCUUUUUUUUUCCAAGAUUUGUACUUGUUAAAAAUGACAUGUAAACUAUUAGUUUAUUUUCAAAAUGAUUUAAAACCUGUAAAACCAUUAUUUUUUUUUGAAUAAAUCCUUUCUGGAAUAUGAUUGGCUCCGGG
rnacentral:misc_RNA from 1 species